CCUACGGGAGGCAGCAGUGAGGAAUAUUGGUCAAUGGCCGCAGGGCUGAACCAGCCAAGUCGCGUGAGGGAUGACGGUCCUAUGGAUUGUAAACCUCUUUUGUCAGGGAGCAGGGGGCGCCACGUGUGGCGCUUUGCGAGUACCUGAAGAAAAAGCAUAGGCUAACUCCGUGCCAGCAGCCGCGGUAAUACGGAGGAGGCGAGCGUUAUCCGGAAUGACUGGGCGUAAAGGAAGUGUAGGCGGCAUAUUAAGUUAUGUGUGAAAGCCCGCGGCUCAACCGCGGAAUUGCACAUAAAACUGGUAAGCUGGAGUGCAGGAGAGGGAAGUGGAAUUCCCGGUGUAGCGGUGGAAUGCGUAGAUAUCGGGAGGAACACCAGAGGCGAAGGCGACUUACUGGACUGUAACUGACGCUGAGGCUCGAAAGCGUGGGGAGCAAACAGGAUUAGAUACCCCGGUAGUC
rnacentral:rRNA from 1 species